rnacentral:rRNA from 1 species
GAUGAACGCUGGCGGCGUGCUUAACACAUGCAAGUCGAGCGAAGCACUCUGAUUACUUCGGUUUGAAGAGUGACUGAGCGGGCGUGGGUGUAACGGCGUCGGUAACUAGCUCACACAGGGGAUAACAGUUAGAAAUGACUGCUAAUACCGCAUAAGACCACAGCACCGCAUGGUGCAGGGGUAAAACUCCGGUGGUGUAAGAUGGACCCGCGUCUGAUUAGCUAGUUGGUGAGGUAACGGCUCACCAAGGCGACGAUCAGUAGCCGACCUGAGAGGGUGACCGGCCACAUUGGGACUGAGACGACGGCCCAG